GAUGAACGCUGGCGGCGUGCUUAACACAUGCAAGUCGAACGAAGCACUUAAGAUUGAUCCUUCGGAUGACGUCUUUUGUGACUUAGUGGCGGACGGGUGAGUAACGCGUGGGUAACCUGCCUCACACAGGGGGAUAACAGUUAGAAAUGACUGCUAAUACCGCAUAACCCGAUAGGAUCGCAUGAUCCAGACGGAAAAGAUUUAUCGGUGUGAGAUGGACCCGCGUCUGAUUAGCUAGUUGGUGAGGUAACGGCCCACCAAGGCGACGAUCAGUAGCCGGCCUGAGAGGGUGAACGGCCACAUUGGGACUGAGACACGGCCCAAACUCCUACGGGAGGCAGCAGUGGGGAAUAUUGCACAAUGGGGGAAACCCUGAUGCAGCGACGCCGCGUGAGUGAAGAAGUAUUUCGGUAUGUAAAGCUCUAUCAGCAGGGAAGAAAAUGACGGUACCUGACUAAGAAGCCCCGGCUAACUACGUG
rnacentral:rRNA from 1 species